rnacentral:piRNA from 1 species
UUAUUUACUACUAAAUUGGAG